GAUCUCACCACAAGCCUCUUUCCCCAUCAUUCCAGCUCCUGGGCAUGAGCAUCUUCAUGGUGAUGAAUUGAGGAAAAUGAAGUGGCUCUUAGGGACAGCUUUGGGGAGCAGGUGUUUUUCUUGCUUGCUGUUCUACCACCUUUGUCCUGCCUGGGCCAGUGGUACUGUCAGAAAAAGCAAGACGUCUAGCUCAACAUGGCAUCCAGAUUUCCUGUUUAGACCAUGUGAAACUGGACCAGUUUGCCAAGUGGAGUGACCUGAUUCCCGUUGGAUCCAUGUGUUAUCAAUAUGAGGUUGUCACUACAAAGCAAGUGUGAUGAAGUCUGCCUUUCAGGCUAAAAUAAAGGCUCUAGCCUGCCA
rnacentral:lncRNA from 1 species